rfam:Gossypium arboreum cultivar AKA8401 contig_8535_5, whole genome shotgun sequence.
CCGUAAUGUGGACAUUUUUGAAUCAACGUCUUAAAAUGCUCCCAAGCUUCGUGAAAACUCUCUCCCUCUAACUGCUUAAACAUAGUAAUUUCCUUUCUUAGUUG